UAUGAUUUAGAGCCACGCAAAGCACCGUGGCAAUCGAGCAGGUGCUCCAACACCGACGCAUAAAAGCGCGCUUCUCCGUCGCUCGCUGUCCUGUUGAUUCGCCGAGUGCCACGAAGAUCUCGCCACCUGCCGAAUAUAAAAAAAUCAUCAUGGUUGGAACAAAAGUAAUUGUCUUCACAAGCAUUUUGUGCAUGCUGCUCAUUUCUGAAAUAGAAAUGGUGCCGGUUGACUCAACAGAUGAAUGCAUUUUCAACUGUUAUCAGUGCUACAGCAAAGGCAACUUGGUGGACUGUGCCAAUGACUGUAUUCUAAUGGAGGGCAAUGUCAAUGACUUCUGGGCCAAGUGCAAAUAUUUCGACAGUGAACCAAAAGUGUACAGCAUUUAAUAAUACUUAAUAACUAAACCGAAUCGCCGCCUUAUGUUCUUACCCAACAUGUGUAUUAAACCAGUAUAAUAAAAAUCUUAUUUCUGAACACCCAACAUAGUCUGUCGGAUGUUUGUCAAUAGAAACUUAAAACAUUUCAUUCAAAACUUUAAUAAAAUACUUGUUAUUCUGC